UACGUAGGGUGCAAGCGUUGUCCGGAAUUAUUGGGCGUAAAGCGCUCGUAGGCGGUUUGUUGCGUCGGCUGUGAAAUCCCGAGGCUCAACCUCGGGUCUGCAGUCGAUACGAGCAAACUAGAGUGUUGCAGGGGAGACUGGAAUUCCUGGUGUAGCGGUGAAAUGCGCAGAUAUCAGGAGGAACACCGGUGGCGAAGGCGGGUCUCUGGGCCGAUACUGACGCUGAGGAGCGAAAGCGUGGGGAGCGAACAGG
rnacentral:rRNA from 1 species